rnacentral:rRNA from 1 species
GGGCCCGCACAAGCGGUGGAGCAUGUGGUUUAAUUCGAUGCAACGCGAAGAACCUUACCAGCCCUUGACAUCCUCGGAACUUGGUAGAGAUACCUUGGUGCCUUCGGGAAUCGAGUGACAGGUGCUGCAUGGCUGUCGUCAGCUCGUGUCGUGAGAUGUUGGGUUAAGUCCCGCAACGAGCGCAACCCUUGUCCCUAGUUGCCAGCACUUCGGGUGGGAACUCUAGGGAGACUGCCGGUGAUAAACCGGAGGAAGGUGGGGACGACGUCAAAUCAUCACGGCCCUUACGUCCUGGGCCACACACGUGCUACAAUGGUAGGUACAGAGGGAAGCCACCCCGCGAGGGGAGCG